AACGAACGCUGGCGGCAGGCUUAACACAUGCAAGUCGAGCGCCCCGCAAGGGGAGCGGCAGACGGGUGAGUAACGCGUGGGAAUCUACCCAUCUCUACGGAAUAACGCAUGGAAACGUGUGCUAAUACCGUAUACGUUCUUCGGGAGAAAGAUUUAUCAGAGAUGGAUGAGCCCGCGUUGGAUUAGCUAGUUGGUGGGGUAAAGGCCCACCAAGGCGACGAUCCAUAGCUGGUCUGAGAGGAUGAUCAGCCACACUGGGACUGAGACACGGCCCAGACUCCUACGGGAGGCAGCAGUGGGGAAUAUUGGACAAUGGGCGCAAGCCUGAUCCAGCCAUGCCGCGUGAGUGAUGAAGGCCCUAGGGUUGUAAAGCUCUUUCACCGGUGAAGAUAAUGACGGUAACCGGAGAAGAAGCCCCGGCUAACUUCGUGCCAGCCGCCGCCGUAACAC
rnacentral:rRNA from 1 species